AUGAAACUUUGCAUGAAGAUAAAGAGCACCAUGAAAGAGGAUACUUUUCAAUAUUUAUUUUACUUCAAAAUUAAUUUGUACAUAUCAUUGUGCGUCAUCCACGAGGAGAGGAGGGUUUAUUUCUGGAGGGUCGACAUCGACACAUCGACACUUUCAAAAGAAAAUGACUGAGAUGGGGGGGGGCUAAAUGCAUAAUUAGCAAACUGUCGUCGCUCUCUUUCCAAUACAUGAGCAAAUCAGGAUGAACAGUUCCAUUUAAGCUAUUAAUUUCGUAAGCGAAUUUUCGUAUCUUCCGUCUUAGCGAUUGGAACACCUUAACGAUGCUGUGAAGAACAAGGGCUCUCAUUCUCUUGAGGGUCCUUGUCCAUUAUGUGUUACAAAUUUUGGCAUCUAUAUGUAAUAUCUGGAAAUGACAGGUGGAAAGUUUAUGUCGAGAAAGAAAGUCCAAUUUCUUCGGGUAUUUUCAUAUCACGUUAUCCGAAAGAACACACCGUUUCACCGAAAACUUCCACGUUUCACCGAAACGCCUAUAGUCAUUUAAUUUCCUUCGUACUACAGCCAAAAACGUAAAUUUUAGAGCGACCCUUGACAAAGUGUACGUUAUUACAAUUCCAUGCAUACUUAUUCAUAGCACAAUUUUUUUUUAGAUAUGUGUAUAUUUAAUUAAUGAUGCUUCAUAAUUUUUGUUCGUAACAUUCUUAUUGAUUGAUUAAUCUGGACUGUAUUUACAUAAUGUGGCACAUAAAUGUCGGUCAUUAACUUGUCAGUCAUCAGUGUUAGGAACAGUAAAAUGCGUUAUUGUUGACACUCAUACUUCACAUUAUCAGUACAUUAUCAUUACACACGUCAAAUUAUCUAUUAUCAUAAAAUGCAUUAUACAAAAUAUCUAUGUAUCUUGCUAUCCUUGAUCAUCAUCGUUCAUUUCAUGCGUAAAAGUUAAAUAAGUGAGUUGAGACAGGUUUUAUUCACCUGAAUGACUUCCACUUCACCUUUUGCAUUGAAAAAACCAAAGCAAACCAGAUGUCAUGCAAUAUCUAAUCACCAAUUUUUAGCGUAACUCAAGAAUAAAGCUUUGACAUUGUGGUGGCAUCGUUCAAGAAGAAGAAGAAGGAAUUAUACAACCCACAAAUAUUUAAUAAUUGCUAUGCAUGCAUAACCAAAGGAAUCUAAUUAUUAUAAUUAUUUCUUCGUACGAGUCAAUAGAAAUGGGUCAAGUUGAACCUUUCGAUAGUAAUUCUAGCCCAAGUUUACCAUCAUUGAUGGGUUUCAUAUUUGGUAAGCGUAUGUAUUUCCUACAUAGUUAAAAUAUGUAUGAAAUAUUGUUUGUGUCCAUAAUUCCAUGAAGAAUUAAGCCAUUUCACUUGCAAAUCCGAUUUUUUCAGGAUUUAUUCUGAAUUUCAUUUAGUAAAUAUGAAAUAUGGAUUAUUAACUUGGUGAAAAAUAAAAUCACUUAAAUAA